UACGGAGGAUGCAAGCGUUAUCCGGAAUGAUUGGGCGUAAAGCGUCCGCAGGUGGCUGUGUAAGUCUGCUGUCAAAGAGCGAAGCUCAACUUCGUAAAGGCAGUGGAAACUGCACGACUGGAGUGCGGUAGGGGUAGAGGGAAUUCCCAGUGUAGCGGUGAAAUGCGUAGAUAUUGGGAAGAACACCAGCGGCGAAAGCGCUCUACUGGGCCGCAACUGACACUCAUGGACGAAAGCUAGGGGAGCGAAAGGG
rnacentral:rRNA from 1 species